rnacentral:rRNA from 1 species
UACGAACCGUCCAAACGUUAUUCGGAAUUACUGGGCUUAAAGGGUACGUAGGCGGCGCUGUUAGUCGGGUGUGAAAGCCCACGGCUCAACCGUGGAAUUGCGCCCGAUACUGCAGUGCUUGAGGGAGACAGAGGUAAGCGGAACUGAUGGUGGAGCGGUGAAAUGCGUUGAUAUCAUCAGGAACACCGGUGGCGAAAGCGGCUUACUGGGUCUCUUCUGACGCUGAGGUACGAAAGCUAGGGGAGCGAAGGGG